GACGUAGGGCGCGAGCGUUGUCCGGAUUUAUUGGGCGUAAAGAGCUCGUAGGCGGUUUGUCGCGUCUGCUGUGAAACCCGAGGCUCAACCUCGGGCCUGCAGUGGGUACGGGCAGACUAGAGUGCGGUAGGGGAGAUUGGAAUUCCUGGUGUAGCGGUGGAAUGCGCAGAUAUCAGGAGGAACACCGAUGGCGAAGGCAGAUCUCUGGGCCGUAACUGACGCUGAGGAGCGAAAGCAUGGGGAGCGAACAGG
rnacentral:rRNA from 1 species